CGUCAAGUCCUCAUGGCCUUUAUGCCCAGGGCUACACACGUGCUACAAUGGGUGGUACAAAGAGAGGCAAGCUCGCGAGAGUAAGCAAAUCUCAAAAAGCCAUCCUCAGUUCGGAUUGGAGUCUGCAACUCGACCCCAUGAAGUCGGAAUCGCUAGUAAUCGCGGAUCAGCAUGCCGCGGUGAAUACGUUCCCGGGCCUU
rnacentral:rRNA from 1 species